CCCUUAGAUGUUCUGGGCCGCACGCGCGCUACACUGACGGAUUCACCGAGUUGAUCCUUGGCCGAAAGGUCCGGGUAAUCUGGAAACUCCGUCGUGAUGGGGCUAGAUUAUUGCAAUUAUUAAUCUUCAACGAGGAAUUCCUAGUAAGCGUGAUUCAUCAGAUCGCGUUGAUUACGUCCCUGCCCUUUGUACACACCGCCCGUCGCUCCUACCGAUUGAAUGGUCCGGUGAAGCGUUCGGAUGGACGCAUCGCGGUGGUCCGCCGCUGCGGCGCGUCCAGAAGUUCGUUAAACCUUAUCAUUUAGAGGAAGGAGAAGUCGUANCA
rnacentral:rRNA from 1 species